GACGAACCGUGCGAACGUUGUUCGGAAUCACUGGGCUUAAAGGGCGCGUAGGCGGGCAGCCAAGUCGGGGGUGAAAUACCUCAGCUUAACUGGGGAAUUGCCCCCGAUACUGGCCGUCUCGAGGGAGGUAGGGGCACGCGGAACUUCCGGUGGAGCGGUGAAAUGCGUUGAGAUCGGAAGGAACGCCGGCGGCGAAAGCGGCGUGCUGGACCUCUUCUGACGCUGAGGCGCGAAAGCCAGGGGAGCGAACGGG
rnacentral:rRNA from 1 species